UUCCGGUUGAUCCCGCCGGAGGUUACUGCUAUCGAGGUUCGACUAAGCCAUGCGAGUCGAAUGUAGCAAUACAUGGCGAACUGCUCAGUAACACGUGGACAACCUGCCCUUAGGACGGGGAUAAACCCGGGAAACUGGGUAUAAUACCCGAUAGGUCUCGAUUGCUGGAAUGCAUCGAGAUUUAAAGCUCCGGCGCCUAAGGAUGGGUCUGCGGCCUAUCAGGUAGUAGUGGGCGUAGCGUACCUACUAGCCUACGACGGGUACGGGUUGUGAGAGCAAGAGCCCGGAGAUGGAUUCUGAGACACGAAUCCAGGCCCUACGGGGUGCAGCAGGCGCGAAAACUUUACAAUGCUGGCAACAGCGAUAAGGGAACCUCGAGUGCCAGGUUACAAAUCUGGCUGUCGAGAUGCCUAAAAAGCAUUUCAUAGCAAGGGCCGGGCAAGACCGGUGCCAGCCGCCGCGGUAACACCGGCGGCUCGAGUGGUAACCGUUAUUAUUGGGUCUAAAGGGUCUGUAGCCGGCCGGAUAAGUCUCUUGAGAAAUCUGGCAGCUUAACUGUCAGGCUUUCAGGAGAUACUGUCUGGCUCGAGGCCGGGAGAGGUGAGAGGUACUUCAGGGGUAGGGGUGAAAUCUUGUAAUCCUUGGAGGACCACCAGUGGCGAAGGCGUCUCACCAGAACGGACCUGACGGCAAGGGACGAAAGCUAGGGGCACGAACCGGAUUAGAUACCCGGGUAGUCCUAGCCGUAAACGAUACUCGCUAGGUGUCGGCCACGGUGCGACCGUUUGUCGGUGCCGUAGGGAAGCCGUGAAGCGAGCCACCUGGGAAGUACGGCCGCAAGGCUGAAAACUUAAAAGGAAUUGGCGGGGGAAGCACCACAACGGGGUGGAGCUUGCGGUUUAAUUUGGAUUCAACCCCGGG
rnacentral:rRNA from 1 species